CCUCACUUAUGCCUUCGGGGGCCUAAGGCACACCCGAAAUGUCUGCAUGUUCAGCGGCCGAACUUGAGGUUCGGCGGCCGAACCUGGGUUUUCCUCCAAAGUUAUUUUCAUUCAAAACUCAUUCUCCUUUUUACUUAAAAGCAUCAAAUACAUUAAAACAUUUUAUGAAAACAUGGUUUUACCCUUCUAGAGGUCUCCGACAUCCAAGAUUCCACCGGACGGUAGGAAUUCCGAUACCGGAGUCUAGCCGGGUAUUACA
rnacentral:lncRNA from 1 species